AGUGAACGCUGGCGGUAGGCCUAACACAUGCAAGUCGAACGGCAGCACAGUAAGAGCUUGCUCUUACGGGUGGCGAGUGGCGGACGGGUGAGGAAUACAUCGGAAUCUACUUUUUCGUGGGGGAUAACGUAGGGAAACUUACGCUAAUACCGCAUACGACCUACGGGUGAAAGCAGGGGAUCUUCGGACCUUGCGCGAUUGAAUGAGCCGAUGUCGGACUAGCUAGUUGGCGGGGUAAAGGCCCACCAAGGCGACGAUCCGUAGCUGGUCUGAGAGGAUGAUCAGCCACACUGGAACUGAGACACGGUCCAGACUCCUACGGGAGGCAGCAGUGGGGAAUAUUGGACAAUGGGCGCAAGCCUGAUCCAGCCAUACCGCGUGGGUGAAGAAGGCCUUCGGGUUGUAAAGCCCUUUUGUUGGGAAAGAAAGGCAGCAGGUUAAUACCCCGCUGUUCUGACGGUACCCAAAGAAUAAGCACCGGCUAACUUCGUG
rnacentral:rRNA from 1 species